CUUGUUUCUUGGCCUUUUGGCUAAGAUCAUGUGUAGUAUCUGUUCUUAUCAGUUUAAUAUCUGACUUCAAACAUAGAUAUUCAAAAAGUCAAGGUGGAAGGAUUUUACCAUAC
rnacentral:snRNA from 1 species